rnacentral:lncRNA from 1 species
CCUCCUCCUGGAUGGCCUAUCUCAAUUUGGCUACAGCAUCCUCAUGGGAAGAGCCAUAUUAUCGACCGACUACAUCAGAUCCCCACCCACAAUAUCUUCUAGGGUGUCAUCCUCCGAGCACAGCUCCAUUGUCUACAUUGACAUCCUUGCCCUGAUUGGGAUAGCUAGCUCUUAGGCUACCCUAUCAGUCUCUGAGGCCACCUCACCCACCACCUCUGGGGUUCUGGCAGA